CGUAGUGAAAAAAAAUGAGAAGAGAAGUGUUUCGUGCACUCAAAAAAAUGAUUCAAGCUCGUCUUAGAUAUGACACAUUUAUAUUGUGUUCACUUUAUUUACAUAUAUCCAAUUAGGAUAAAUACUUAUAUUUAAUAAGACUAACAUAAAAUGUAUAAACAGCAUAAUCUAUGAGAUUUAUUUUAAUUUGAUUAACUCAAAUUAAUUUGGCUUUGGAGCGCGCCAUUUGAGCAUGUGCAAAACAAGCUCAGAGAACAGAAGAACACGCUCAUGGUGUGGCCACUAUUUUCUCAUCUGGUGCUGCGAGGAACUUGGGUAAGUUUGGUUUUAUAUUCGCACAUUUGGACUUCCGCAUAGGCUACAAUAACUUUGUACACUACAUUGGACAUUCAGUGGACAUUCACAAGUAAGUAUGCCAUUAAAAUAAUACUUGCCCAUUUUGAUCGAUUGUGAAAAAUGUUGUAGGAUUACAAUCGUUGGUUGUAAAUAUCAUGUCGCUGUUCAGAAUUUGCAAACAUUUACUUUAUUGCACAUUAUUAGAACGUUCUUAAACGCGGAAGUCUGAAUGUGUGAAUAUAAAACCAGCUUUACCCAAGUCUGCGAGGACUGUUACGGCGUAUUCCUUAUUGGUAAGUUAUUUGUUUAAUUUUUUUGUAGUUAAGAAUUGACCUCCCCAGCAAACAAAGUUAUGUUCCGAGAACAUUUUCCUAACGUUCUGUUUUGGUUGUGGGAACGUUAUUUGAAAUGUUCUAAAAACGUGUAAAUGUCCAGUUUGCUUAACGUUGCUGGAACGUUAUAUUAAGGUUAGCAUAACGUUCCUGCAACGUUCUUUCCACCUAAAUUUUAUUAACAAUACAACAUUCAAAGAACGUUUAUUUGGAACAUUCCAAGAAUGUAAAAAUGUCUGUUAAAAUGUUAUAUUAAGGUUAGAAUAAUGUCCCUGAAACAUUCUUUUCAACAUUCUUUGUUUUUAUUAACACCAUACACAAUCAUUUCAAGAACAUAAUGUGAACCUCAAAAUAUAAUGAUAUAACUGCACUUAAAAAAGUUUACAUUUAUGAUAACUUGAGAAGAGGAACAAUAGAUGUGGAUGCCAGACUAGCAGCUCCAGUCUCUUCAUGCUCCGUCUGUAAAGUGAACAGAUUGACUGAUGUUACUAAUGGUUAUUUAUUAUUUCAUAAGCAUUUAAUAAUACCAGUGUGGCUACUCCAUACAAGUUAACCCUUAAGUUAUUUAGCUUAUUUAAGUACUAUAAAUUUGAACUAUAAAUAUUAAAUCACACAAGAUUCAAAGGUAGCUUACAAAUGUUACACACUGUAAAGUUCAUAACACAUUGUAAAGAUUGCACUUGAGGUAAAGUCAGGUAAUAUGCAUAUGUACAUAUACAAAUAAAAAAAAACACAAUGAUACUUUUAAAUUAAACUGCCCGUAGGGAGUGGCUAGUGACUGUCGUAAUGAGUGAAUCAGUAGGUUCGACUUGAAGCAGUGCUGUGCAAUACAAUUGGUGUAUGACAUCAAAGUACAGCAAGAGCAAUUCCACAGCAUACAGAGCUGUCCGCUCUCUAAUCGUUCUCGCAUUACUUUGUCUGAUGUCUGUGCAGCGCUACUUCAAGUUGAACAGACCUGUAUUCAUUCAACCAACUGUUCAAAGCUGAUUCAUUCAAGAAUUAGGCAUGGGGAUUAUGAAUGGGGAGUGUGUAUAUACAGUGCCCUCCAUAUACGUUUUGUGACAGUAAAGACAAAAAUGCUCUGUUAGCUGUGGUGUCAAGAUAUCUAUAAAUAUGAUUAAAAGAUUAAUAUGAUGACAUCACCAGACUCUUGUACAGAAAAAACAUUAAUGUCAAGCCCUGUAUACAUUUUCAUCAUUAAUACGUCAUUCCUAGAAAUGCAUUGUCAAGUUGACAUAAAUUGACCAUAUUUAUUAACUUGAUGGGUACACAAACACAAACUAGAAAUACAAAACAAUAGAAUAAAGUCAAUUGCAAUUCAUUUCAUGCCAACUUUAAACAGGGAACACACUAGUGGUGAAACGGUUCUCGGUAAAAAAAAUCAAACGGUACCGUUCUGCACAUUUGGUUCAGCACGCACUUGAACCGCGGUUCAUCUCAUAUCUGACGAUGCAUACACAUUUAUAAUAUGGUUUGUAGAAAAUAAAUAUAAAACAGACAGAGUUAGGCUAAUGUAUGUUUCUGUCAAUGGAUACACAUUCUGGCUUCCCCUAAACUUUGUUCAAUGCGAGUGCCGUAUCAUAUACAUAUCCUAGCAAGCAUAGUAGGUUAUGUCUUAAGUGAACUUAAACACUUGAGAAAGAACGCUUGUGUUCAGUAUCAGUGUACUGAUUCGUGUAUUAUGUCUUAAAGAGACAGCAGCCCUUGCAUUCCUGCUGUCUGAAUGUGUUUUUAAUCAAACAACAAAAGACAAGGAAAUCACUCAUUGCUCAUGACUGAAUAGUAACUUAAUAAUUAAUAAUGACUGAUCUUUAUUUAAUUUAUACAGUGAAGAUUACAUGCAAUGUUGUUUUACAUUUUAUAAGAUACUUUAUUCAAUUUCUGUACCUGAAAACUGGAUACACGAAAACCCUGAAAAGUUUUAUUUAUUUGUGUCUUUGCUUUACUGUAUUUAUUCGUGCUGUUUGAUCAUUUGUUCUUAUUUUUCUUUAUUUUUAUUUGACAGUAGUCAUUUUUUACCUGAACAUAGCACUUACCGAACCGUACCGAAACCGAGCCUAAAACCGUGAUACAAACCGAACCGAGAGUAAUCUGAACCGUUGCACCCCUAGAACAUACCAGCAAAUAUAGUAAUAUGUAAGUUACCAACAUUUAACUACAGUUUUUCUCACAAAAUGUUGCCAUGUUACAUGUUGUGAGCUGAUAAACUGUUGUAUGACCUAAGUCAGGGAUGCAAACUAAGGUAAGACAGUUAAAGCAGGUGUUAUCAUAAAGUACACCUUUAAAGUAAAAUGACAAUGUAGAAAAUGUUACUGAACUAUUUAGGUAACAAAACAAAAACACAUUCAGAACUCCCAUCCCAAACCUCUGAAAUGUUUGUAUCCCACAGGAUACAAAAAAUAAAAAACUUUUAGGGUUAAGAAAACAUGCAAUAAUUCUGGAAAGUUACUCCUUGAAUCGCGAUGAGGAGCGUACUUCAGUGUUUCUGCGAUGCAUUCCUCAAACACCUUAACUGGCAUCUUCAGAUGCAUCCUUUGGCAAGCCUCUAAAAAAAGAAGUUUACAACAUCUUGGUUUAGUGGAACUUCAGUAAAAAUGUUGUGAAAACCAAUAUGUCAUGACAUCUUAAACAUUAAUCCCUAUUUACACCUCGAUUUAACAUUUGCUAAAUACAUGUGCUAUCCCAUGAGGCCACAGGAGAGGAUUCUUCAUAUUCGAAAAUGGCAGAGAGCGGCGAUGCAGCACUUUUCAAGUGGACUGAUGAACACACCCGCGCCCUCAUCCAGUGGAGAGUGGCUAAUGAAGCCCUCUUCACUGGAAAACAAAAUGCUGCCAUUAAAGGAUUUGAGGAAGUAUACAAAUGAGGUAAACUGUAUUCAGGUGCUGUUGACAGUGAAAGUAGUACAUACUAACACUUUCGGCAGCUUACUGUGUUCUAGUUUAUGUUUUAUGCUUGAUUUCUGUGCAUUUAUUGCAGAGUUUUUGUAAAAGAUGAGAAUUUAGAGGGCAAAAUUUCUGCUGCUCAGGUCAAAAGGAAGUGGGAAAACCUAAAACAAAAAUACAAAGUAAGAUUUUUUUUUUAAAAAAAAAGUAGUUAUCCCCAAAAUAUUAAUUCUUUUAUGAUUUAAUUAUGCUAAUGUUUGUCCAUGUAAUAGUAAUGCAGCAAUCUAAUGAAUAUAAUUGAAUGUCUUGGUAUUUCACUUUUACAUUUUUUUUGUAGGAUCUUAGAUGUCCACAGACUGGUGUGAGCACCGAGGAUGGUGAGGUUACAGCAGCAUCCUGGAAAUGGUGUGCUGUCUUGGAUGAGGCAAUAGGGGGCAGACCCUCCAUCACACCACCCAAUCUUAUUGCCUCAUCCGGACCAGAUGUUGCUGUAACCUCACCAUCCUCAGUGAGGUCAACAUCUGUAAGAACAGGGAGGAAAAGGAAGGACAUAGAGGAGCUGAUCUGCCAGAUGGAGGAGAAAGAAGCAGAAAGAGAAAUAGAAGCGGUUGAAAGGGAGGAAAGGCGAUGGAGAGAGAUGGUGGAAAGGGAGGAAAGAAGAGAACGAGAGAGACGAGAGCAGAAGGAAAGACGAGAACAAGAGGCCAGGGAAAGAGAAGAAAGAAGAGACAGAGAAAUGAGAGAGAGAGAGGAAAGAAGAGACAGGGAGACAAAGGAGAGAGAGGAGAGGUUUCUUCAGCUUUUAGAGCUUUUUGCAAAAAAUAAAUAAAUAAAAAAUAUAAAUAGCAACUACACACUUUCUUUCCAUUUAUAUAUGUUGGGAUUUUCUUUGUUUUAUGCUGUUUUAUCAGCAUUUUAUUGCAAUGUUAAUGUCCAGAGUUUAACAGUAGCUAGAUUUUGUCAGCUGUAAAGUGCUUAAUAUUUGGCAUUGAGUAACAACUAUUUUUAAAGCACUUAUGUGCACACUGAUUUUCUAGUAGUUUCCAGUGUUAAAUGAAGAAGAAUAUAUAUAUAUAUAAAAACGUUGACUGACAAUGAGUGCAGCACUGUAGAGAAAAGACCAGACAGCUUUAAAAUGUAUUCAUUUGAUUUAUUUUCUAAUUUAACAUCUACAUGAAUAAGAGUACAAAGCUUAAGACAAAAUCACUUUUGCAUCAGGUUGUAUAAAAACUAUUUGUUUGUAAAAUUAAAGUAAUGGAGAUCAGUACAAAUCUAGUUGUUGUUUUUGAAGUAUUAGUAAACUUUUAAGUGUUGCUAUGUCUGCUCCCUAUGAAUUUACAUUUAGAGAACAUAUUGAUGAGUUGUAUUCCCUUCAAAUUGUUCAAUAAACUUUCUUUAAAAUUUUCUUUAAUUUACCUUUAUAAAACCCACUGAAACCCUGAAAAAAAAAAAAAAAACAUUAUUUUUUUCAUCACUAGGGCUGACAGUGGCAGUGAGCAGUAAGUAAGAAGGAUGCAUACAGUUGCAAUGCACCUCUUUCUAUCUACUGCUACUGCACUUUUCGCAUCACAACUGUCACGAAUACGGUUCCCGCGGCUCUUCCUCCCGGCCGCCGGAGGGAGCCGUCACCUGCGUUCUGAUCAUUCCCCGUUCGGACUACAUUACCCAUGGGCCCUCAUUCCUGAGACUGAUUGCUCACGCACCUGCACUGCAUCACACUCACACUAUUUAAGUCACACACACACACACACACACACUGCGAAGUCUUGAUUUGCUUAGGUGAUCAUUUCUGAGUGUUUUCCCUGUGGACUGUUUAUCUGUUGCUGUUUGGACUGCUUGCUCUUUUGUGAAUCUCCGCCGCCUGCCCUGAUCCUUGCCUGUUUACUGGACUGUGUACUGCUUGCCGCCUGCCCCGAUCUCUGCCUGUUGUUGACCCUGUUUCCUUGCUGCCUGCCUCGAUCACUGCCUGUUCCUGUUCACGCUAUUGCCUUGCCCUUGUUUGCACUGUGCUGUGUUUUGAAUAAAAGCUGCAAAUGGAUCCUCACGCUGUUGACCCAUCAUUACAACAACACCCUGUAGGCUGUGCCCACACACACACACACACACACACACACACACACACACACACACACACACUCAUUGCUGAGUAUUGUUUAGCCUUGUUUUCAACCUUGUCUCCGUGUUCCUUGCCUUGCCUGUGUUUUUGACCCUGGACUGUUUCUUUGUUUGAUGAUCGUUUGCUGUCGGCCUUGACUAUUGCCUAUGUUUUGGAUUACUUUUUCCUUGCCCUUCUGUAUCUGUUUGCUGGUCUUUGACCUCUGCCUGUACGACUACGCUCAUUUUAAUAAAAGCCUGCACAUGGAUCUCCAACUCCGUUGUCCCGCUCCAUCCGUUACACUUAACAAAACACAAUGUAGAUCUUGAUGUCAUUUAUUUCUCUAUUGAUAUGUAGAUUGUUGAAGAUUUAGUGACUUGUGCUGUCUGUUUCAUAGUAAGUGGUCCAUUGGUCCAAAACACAUGAGUGUUUCCACCAGGAAAUGUUUGUCUUGUGGUUCCUGUGAUCACUUGAAAUUGAAGGAACAUACAUUAGUCUAACUCUGUCUGCCUGAUUUACAUGUGAUUUUCAACAAACCAUUUUAUAGAUACACAUCGUCAGAUUUGAGAUGAACCGUGGUACAAGUGCGUGCUGAACCAUGGGUGGAGAACGGUACAGUUAGAUUUUUUUAACCGAGAUCCGUUACACCCCUAGUAGGCAACAGUACUUGACCGUACCUUUAGGUUCCAAGUAUUCAGUAAAACCAAUAUAAUGAUCGACCUCUAAUUUUAAUAGAUCUAGAAUUGUUGGUAACACGCUAUGAAUCAUUAGUUAAGCAUUAGUAAAUACUUAAUUAAUCAUUUAUAAAGCAUUAAUAGACACGUUUAUAAAUAUGGCUAUAAAUGCUUUGUUCUUGAUUUAUAAGCUGUAGCGAACUUCAUGUGAUGAACUCCACCAAUAAAAGCGGUUGUUCCCUUUAAAUAAUGAGCUAGUAGAUGUGACAUCUUCACAGUGUAAAGAGAACAUGUUGGGUGUCAGGAGACACGGUGGCAGUUUGAAUUACUCUUGUUGAUGCUCUGCUCUCCCGCUGUGUAUGGAAUAAUAGGGUAUAUGCGCAACUUACUUCCACGUUCCAUAAACCACAGUACUUUGCUUCCGGUUCUAGACUGUACGCUCUAGUCUACGCUGCUAUGGUGCUGUUUUACACAUGAAGCCUUCAGGAGCUUCCAAAGAUGAGAAUAACUGAUGUCCAUCAGAUAUGCUCGUUAACGUCUAAAGCUCCAGAAACCAAAGUGGACAAGGGAUUCAAGCUAUAGGCUUCCUCGUACAUAAUGGACUACGAGGGUAUGUAAGCUAGCAGAACGGAAAUGCUGUACAAUAUGCCACUAGCUAGCUAACAUAAUCUACUUAGUCUUUUUAUGGACAUAUGGAUCUACAUAAUCACAUUAACACGUCGUGAUUUUUUCCACCAGUAUCAAAUAAAGACAGGCUGACUGGUGAUGUCAGCAUCAGAGCAGCCUAUCACAGAGCAGAAGCGAGAAGCCACACGGCCUGAGAGUAACGUCAGGGAAGGUGUAGGUGUUCUGUUCCAGUUCAGGGACAGUUUUUAUUAAUCCGCUCAGAGCUGGAAUAAGAAUAGAUGAAACUGUGAUCAUGACCAAGUCUCUUUGUUAUCCUGAAAGGCUUGGUAAAUGCAUGCAGUUCCCUUACGAAAAUAAACCAUGCUUUUAUUAUAGUAAAAGUGUAGUAAUCAGUAAUAGUUUUUUGGCAGAUUAAUUACAAUUUGUAUAACCACAGUUUUACUAUAAAUACAUGGUUAAACUAUGGUUAGUGAAGCAGAAUUAUGGCUAAUUUGUGGUUACAAUGGUUUAACUACAAUAACGUUUUUUGCUGUUAUUUGUGGUAAAACUAUGGUUAAUUUUCAUAAGGGUUGUUUCAAGUUCAUUGUUGUUGUUUCUCUACUUGUUGAGAGACGAGGAUAGUGAGGUCACUGGGGUAUAUGGAUUAUUGAGUGCCACCUGUUAUAUUAUUCACAAUCAGGAAUCGCAAAAUAAACAUUAUUUUUGGUGUUAAUGGCAUUGUCAAACUUGCCCCAGCGACCUAGCUACACUGAUACUUAAGUCAAUAUAUAAUAAAUAACAAUUCUCUAUUUUUGUACAGAUGGUUCUUCGGGAUUCAGACCGUCAUCCUGGUUUCUUAUUGGUGUUUGUGUGUAUAUGGGACUGCAGUGUACCACAUUGUUGCUUUGCUGUUUCAAACAGCACAUUAUUCUGAGCUUAAGGUGCAGCUUGUGCCCCUGUCCACUCCUGCUGAGACAGAGCAACAGUGACACAAGCCCAGUACAGCUGUUAGUGUUGAGACGCGACCCCUGUCAUUAGUUUAUAUGAAACUAUAGACUAUUAGACAGCUGUUUCAGAAGCAUGUUUUGUCAAUGCCACAGUCACACUUGUAAUGAUCAGGAACCUUAGAAGCACAUAAAUGAAUUAUUAAAUGCAAUUUGUUCUCUUAUCUUUUAAUUGUUCUCUCUUAUUUUGACACAGGCAGUCAUAGGUAAUAUGCCACUUAGCCUGACUAGUUAGUUUUUUGUUAUUAAAUUUUCUUGUCUCUAAUAUUUUUGAUAUUAAUGUGUUUUUUCUCAUCAGGGAGUGAAACCCUGGCCAAUGAACAAAAAGGUCAUCACCAGACCAAGACUCACCUGACUGGAAGGAGGAAUCAGGCCAGAACAUCUGUUUGUUGGGCAAAACACGGCAAUCUACCUCUCCUCUCCCCUCUCACUGACAGAGGAGGAAGAGAAGCUUGCAAAAGAGGCCCUCAUUCCUCCAUCCCUUGAAGUCGCCGGGCUAGACCAGGACCUCUUUUCCCGGGGGGAUACCUUACACUUGACGGGAUGGUGGAAAAUCUGCAGGUUACGAGGAUGACCACUGUUGCGGGAAGUCCCCAUCUUGGACUUGGCCAUCCAAAGUGGAUCUAAACGUCUUGACGUAUCCCUGUGGCGUGAUCAGGCCCUGACCACGAUUCACCUAAACGACAAACUGAAAAUUACUCGCCUGAAGGGGAACAUCAAGUCUCUCAAGUUCAAUUCGACGAGCAACACAACCGUAGAGGAAUGCCACAUACACAGCCCUCUGUCCUGAAAAAUCAUCAAACGCCUGCUUAUACAACCAGUGAAGAUGACCGAUGUGCAAGGCAGCCAUGUGCCCAUCCUGGACCAAAAGCUGCUGAAGUUUCUCUCUGGAGAGACGAGGCUCAGUGUGAGCUCUGUAUCAAAGACGAGGUGGAGCUCACACACCUCAAAGUCUUUCUUUUGGGGAAUGGAGGAGGAAAACUGAAGUCCUCAUCCCACACAACUGUGAAGGCAAAUCUUCGGCGAGUACAGACAGUGAAAUACAGACAGUGAGCCAGAGGAGGGUAUAAAGAGGAAAUACCACCAUCUCUCCACUUGUCCAGCACCAUCUAUUCCUCCACCUACUCCUGACAUACCAUCAAAUGGCACUUGCCAGACUUCUUCCACUGAAUCAUUUUGUAAGCAAUGUGUUUGUUCAUAUCUAGCUGUUUAGUUGUGACAUUAAUAUAACAGUAUUAAGUCAAGUUUCUUCUAUGGGACUGAUGCAGUUAAUGUAACUUAAUGUGCUCAGUGAAUCUAACAGGUUUCAGCUGGACAUACUUGAGGGAUCUAUUUAUGAUAAUAAAUAUGAAAAUUUAUCACAUCCAAAAUGUGCAGUGUUAUGGGGCUACAGGAAUGUGUUGGGAACACUGUUAUUAAACUCAUUAAAUAAGGACAUUAAAAUCAUUUGAAUGUAUUCUAGCCGCUAAUUUGAAAAUGAGCAUAAUAUGGGCACUUCAAUUAAAAAAUCACAUGCAAAUAUUGUUCAGCCCAGAAUACAAUUCAUGGGUGUGUUUGUAACAAGCUUUCACGAGUUUACAUGUACAUAAAAUCAAUAUAAAGUAAUUCGUAUAGUAAUUUAUGCGUAUUUGGCGUGCUGUCCGGGGGAGGGCUCCGAGCUCGGAAUUUGGCCCGAACCCAGAGUACUCCCCCUCCUUAACUGGGAUAGAAACCAGCCAAGAGUGAGGUGAUGGGGUGGUGGAGGGAUGCUGUGAAACUUGUCGCGGGAUAGAGGUGAGAGACGGCUUUAUAUACCGGCUUCCUCUUGCACUGAUUGGUUGAUUACCUGAACGUGCGCCUCCCGAAUUUUGUUAAAUAAAACUUCAUUUAAAAUUUAGUAAAUAAGCCACACAAUCAGACCUAUGUUUUUAUAACCAUUUAAUUUUUUUUUUUUAUUGUAUUUGUCCCCCUCAUCUAGAAUUUGCAGAAGUCAAUAAGAAUGACAUGUGAAGAUGAGCAACAUCUGGAUGACACUUCUGCUGUGUAAUGAAAGUUAAAGUCUGAAAUGAUAUUUAUUCAAUGUGCUUUAUUUAAAAACACAUUUCAAUAUAAAAAUACAAAAGCUUGCUGCUCUUUCAAAUGUUUAUUUCAAAAGAUCCAGACAUCAUGUUCUUAGUCAUGUUAAAUUUGCAUGACAAGGUGGCUUGGUUUGUAAGAGACCAGUUAUUUCCAUGCUGCUUAUAAAUGGUAAUGUAAGAGGUUGUUUGGCUGGUCAUUGUUUGCUUGAACUAUUAUUUUAAAAUGCAUGAAAUAAGCCAUUUUUCCCCCUCCAAAUUCUUAUUUACAGGUGAACCCAUGGAAACCAUACUGUGAUCACUGCAAACAAAGCACCUAUCAGGCCAAACUAUGUGAAGAAGCCAUGGGCAAAGCAAGAAGUGGAAGCAGUUUUCAGGCACUUUAAAACUCACAUAAUCAAGGGGCAUCUUACCUCUCUAAAGGAAUGCCAUUCGUGCAAAAACGCAGAGAGAAAAAUCCUGCAGGGACGGAUGAUCCAAAAUAUCAGGGACUUCGUCCGAAACAAAGGAGUGUGUUUAAAGUGAAAAAAUGCAUUGCAAGACUUCUGAUCUAUUCAGAAAAACUUUGAAAGGAAAGAGAACUGACACAGCGGGCAUAUUGAUAAUUAAAAUGAAUUGAUUUUCAUUUAAUUGUCAGCACAUUAGCCAGGAGUUUUUUUUACAAUUUUAAAUAAAUAAACAAUAAACAAAAA